CAGGAUACCAAGAGAGCUGGAGAGGGCUAUACAAUACAUUGGGCAGGAUAUAUAGGGGGAGGGCUAUACAAUACACUGGGCAGGAUAUAUAGGGGGAGGGCUAUACAACACACUGGGCAGGAUAUAUAGGGGGAGGCCUAUCCAACACACUGGGAAGGAUAUAUAGGGGGAGGGCUAUCCAACACACUGGGCAGGAUAUAUAGGGGGAGGGCUAUACAACACACUGGGCAGGAUAUAUAGGGGGAGGGCUAUACAAUACACUGGGCAGGAUAUAUAGGAGGAGGGCUAUACAAUACACUGGGCAGGAUAUAUAGGAGGAGGGCUAUACAAUACACUGGGCAGGAUAUAUAGGAGGAGGGCUAUACAAUACACUGGGCAGGAUAUAUAGGAGGAGGGCUAUACAAUACACUGGGCAGGAUAUAUAGGAGGAGGGCUAUACAAUACACUGGGCAGGAUAUAUAGGAGGAGGGCUAUACAAUACACUGGGCAGGAUAUAUAGGAGGAGGGCUAUACAAUACACUGGGCAGGAUAUAUAGGAGGAGGGCUAUACAAUACACUGGGCAGGAUAUAUAGGAGGAGGGCUAUACAAUACACUGGGCAGGAUAUAUAGGAGGAGGGCUAUACAAUACACUGGGCAGGAUAUAUAGGAGGAGGGCUAUACAAUACACUGGGCAGGAUAUAUAGGAGGAGGGCUAUACAAUACACUGGGCAGGAUAUAUAGGAGGAGGGCUAUACAAUACACUGGGCAGGAUAUAUAGGAGGAGGGCUAUACAAUACACUGGGCAGGAUAUAUAGGAGGAGGGCUAUACAAUACACUGGGCAGGAUAUAUAGGAGGAGGGCUAUACAAUACACUGGGCAGGAUAUAUAGGAGGAGGGCUAUACAAUACACUGGGCAGGAUAUAUAGGAGGAGGGCUAUACAAUACACUGGGCAGGAUAUAUAGGAGGAGGGCUAUACAAUACACUAGGCAGGAUAUAUAGGAGGAGGGCUAUACAAUACACUAGGCAGGAUAUAUAGGAGGAGGGCUA